GAAACCCCUGUCACAUACUCCCUAGAUGGCUCAAUCAAUCAUGACACUUUCAUGUAAAAUCUUUAGUAUUGUGAGCCCUUAAAAGGGACAGAAUUUGUGCACUCAAGAAGCUCGGAUUUUGAGAUGUUAGUCUGCUGAUGCUUCCAGCUGACUAAAGCCACUUCCUCCACUCCCUCAGUGUCUGUGAGGUUUUGUCUGCAGCUCAUCCUGCUACAUUUCUUGUUUCCCUGAUCAGGAAGCGAGGUAACUGACGGACGGCUGAGGCAUCCCCUUAGGCAGCUUAGGCCUGCUCUAUGGAGCAUCCCUGUGGGAGACUCUGGCCUGCCUUAGUGACGUGAUCCAAAGAGUGAUCCCAGGUAGGCAAUUGCCCUGGUGGAAUGCCUUGCCAGAGCAGCAUGUGCCAGGCCCACAUGGAGGAUCAACGCAGUGGCUGAACACAAGGGAGGAACUGGCACUUGGAGUGCAGACAUCUGAAACUUGUAUUGGAUAGCCCUGUUGAACAUAGCUGUGUGGAGGUGUUGGACUGAGUCCAUUCUAGCAGAUCCAAUCUUUGAUACCAGCCAUGGGCAUCAGUGGACUGGGAGUUAUACGUGGACGGGAGCAGCUUCAUCAAUCCACGAGGAGAAAGAUGUGCCGGAUAUGUGGUGGUAACCUUGAAUAAUGUUAUUGAAGCCAAGCCAUCGCUCAGGGCACUUCAGCCUAGAAAGCAGAACUCAUUGCUUAAACUUGGGCUCUAGAACUCAGUGAAGGUAAGACUGUAAACAUUUAUCCUGACUCUCAAUAUGCCUUUCUAACCCUUCAAGUACAUGGAGCAUUAUAUAAAGAAAAAGCCCUGUUAAAUUCUGGAGGAAAAGACAUAAAAUAUCAACAAAAAAUUAUGCAAUUAUUAGAGGCAGUGGGAAAGCCCAAAAGGUGGCAGUCAUGCACUGCAAGGGACAUCAGCAAGCUUCUACCUCAGUAAGCCAGGGAAACUCCCGAGCAGUCACAGAGGCACGAAAAGCAGCGUCUACUCCUUACUGGGCAUCAGUCACAGCCUUCCUGCUCCCUCAAACACCUGAUCUGGUGUCUACUUAUUCUAAAGAGGAAAAAGACUUUCUUCAGGCAGAGGGAGGACAAGCAAUACAAAAAGGAUGGAUAAAGUUACUAGAUGGGAGAAUAGCUGUACCACAGCUGCUAGGAGCCACAGUCACGCUGGCUGUACAUGAAACUACCCAUUCAGGCCAAGACUCACUUGAAAAGCUGUUAAGCUGGUAUUUCUAUAUCUCACACUUGCCAGCUCUUGCUAAGACAGUAGCACAGUGAUGGGUUACCUGAUGACAGCAUAAUGCAAAGCAAGGCCCCUCUGUUCCUCCUGGCAUACAAGCCUAUAGAGCAGCUCCUUUUGAAGAUCUUCAAGUGGACUUCACAAAGAUGCCCAAAUGUGGAGACCUCAUCCCUAGGUUUGGACUGCCUCUACGGAUCGGCUCAGAUAAUAGGCCGGCAUUUGAGGCUGAUGUAGUACAGAGACGGCAAAGAUAUUGGGAAUCACUUGGAAGUUACAUGCUGCCUACUGACCUCAGAGUUCCGGAAAGGUGGAGUGAAUUAAUCAGACUAUUAAAAAUAGGUUAGGGAAAGUAUGUCAAGAGACAGGAUUAAAAUGGAUGCAGUCCCUUCCUAUAGUAUUGUUUAAAAUUAGUUGCAUCUCCUCUAUGAAAAUAGGAUACUCCCCUUAUGAAAUAUUAUAUCACAGGCCUUCUCCUAUACUGUGAGGACUUCCAGGUACUCUGCAAGAGUUGGGUGAAAUUGAAUUGCAGCAACAGCUACAGGUCUCAGGGAAAAUUACCCUGUCAAUCUUAACAUGGAUAAAUGAGAAGUGCCCAGUCAGCUUAUUCUCCCCAGUUCACCCUUUUUCUCCAGGUGACCAUGUGUGGAUCAAGGACUGGAAUAUAGCUCCUUUGUGGCCAUGGUGGAAGGGACCCCAUACCAUUAUCCAGACCACUCCCACAGCUGUGAAGAUAGAAGGAAUUCCAGACUAGAUUCACCAUAGCUGCAUAAAGCCCACAGCCACUGGAACCUGGGAGGCCAAACCAAGCCUAGACAACCCCUGCAAAGCAACCCUGAGGGGGACGACAAGCCCUGCUCCAGUCACACCCAGAACCGGACUGGUCUACGCAUGGCCAAAGCAUGAGGAAAAUUGUCAUGGGACUUAUUUUCCUUUUAACAUGGAUUUGUGUGGUAAAAGCUUCCACUGCUUCUUCCCACACAGAGGAAUGCUUUCAGUGCAUACAUCAGGUCACUGAGCAUAUAGAAAUCUCGGGCAAGACUGAUUGAAAAUAAAAGAUAAGAGAAACAACUGAAUGGUCUCAAGCAUCCCAGCCAAGACUGGUUGCUGAGUGAUUGAAAGCUGAUUCCCAGAUGCGUGAAAGAGCCCAGGCAGGGCGGAGGGCCACCUAGAAUGAGAAAAACUUAUGGUACUUUCAUCUGCCACCGAAUGUCCUGGGUCUUUAAAACCUCCAAAACUCUAACUGAACCGGAAGCUAUGUGUGGUUUUUGCAUGAAGAGGAGCAGGAGUCUCGAAGGCACAGCCAGACAAUUUCAAGUUUAUUCUGCUUCAGCUGUCAUAGUGGCAACCCGCACUAAGAGUUUGUCACCAAACUCUCAUCGUUAAGCUUGGAAUGUCUUCAAGUACAAAUGGUUAUGCAAUUUGGGAAUUACCAGUUUAUUUUCCAAGAAGGUAAGAUGCAUCCUGUUGGUGAAUGCAGGACAACCUGGCGGGCCAGGUGCAUAAAUCUUUGACUUCCCCACCAUGACGAGGUUUGGAUAAGACUUCAACCCAGUGAUGGCCAAUGAGACUGGAUGGUGCAGUCUACAAAUAUUCCACUAGCUUGUGGUGGAAUAAAUCAGUGUUGUGUAUUUUCUUUGGUCUUUUCUUCUCGGUGCUCAUGUGAAUGUGCCUAUCUGUUCUAAAACCAGGUCAUUAAAAAUAUGUCAAUAUUUUAAACAUUAAAUAUUUAAAUCUGUUAUAAUUACACAAAUUUACAUGGUUUACAUAGGUUUAUUCUUUUUUUCUUGUUGUUUGUUUUUUUGAGACGGAGUCUCGCUCUGUCACCCAGGCUGGAGUGCAAUGGCGCGAUCUCGGCUCACUGCAAGCUCCGCCUCCCGGGUCCACACCAUUCUCCUGCCUCAGCCUCUCCGAGUAGCUGGGACUAUAGGCACCCGCCACCACGCCCGGCUAAUUUUUUGUAUUUUUAGUAGAGACAGGGUUUCACCGUGGUCUCAAUCUCCUGACCUCGUGAUCUGCCCGCCUCGGCCUCCCAAAGUGCUGGGAUUACAGGCUUGAGCCACUGCGCCAGGCCCAUAUAGGUUUAUUUUUUAAUAUCUAUAAACUUUUUGCUUCUAGUUAGUUCACAGCAGAGGGCAGACUCAUUCUUUUUUGUAACUUAAAGAGUCAAAUUGUUGAUAAAUUACACUUACAGAUAAUGUGCUCUUGAGUUUAUCGCACCUGAAAUUCUCCCAUUGACCUGUAUAUUUUUGGACAUGUAUGUGUACUACUAUAUAUGAAAUAUGAAAUAUAUGUAUCUUUGAUUCAUAUAUGUAUGUAUUCAUAUAUGAUAUGAAUCAUAUCAUUGAUAUAUGUAUGUAUAUGUGUGUAUAUAUAUAAAUAUAUAUAUACUAUUUGUAAUUUCUAUUAUUUUUUCAAGUGACUGUGUGCAUUUUAAAAUUAUUGUCUACUUAGUAUUCUGGAAAAAAAUUUAGAAGACUAAUGCUGUUACAUGCUAUUUUAGAGUGGUUAUGAUCAAAGUCAUAAAAUGAGAAAGUGGUGAACCAGGAUGCAAAUGGAACAUUGACAUACUAAUACAAUUUCACCUAAUGUAUGUAGCCAGAAGUCAGACACAGUCAAGAAGUUGGGAUUUGAAGAUAGAAAUUUUUAAGAGCAAAAGAAGAGACACUAUUCCAUGGAGUUUGCAUUGUGAGUUUAUGAAUGAAUGUAGAAAAUGGUAAUUUGGUCUCCUUCAUUCCUAUGGUAAAUGUCUUCAUUGAUCAUAGAAAAGAGGAUGUUAUUGGAUAUGUGUGUCCAGAUAGUCAUUUAGCUGAUUCUCCAAUCACCAGGCUUGUCACUACCAAUGAAUGAUCCAAAAAAGUUCCACCAUGUGACUGACCAGGCACCUAACACACACUAUAACUUUUGCUAGGAUGUGCAAUUUUGACUUAAGAUGUAGGCUGGGCUUCUACUCUCAUAUUGGCUGAAUCUAAGUAGCACCUGAACAUUGAUCCCAAAGAGAUGAACCCUACUGAAUGUCUUUGUGAAAAAAUGGUAGGGUAAAAUACAUGCAGCAGUACAGAACCUCCAGGCUGGAUGCUGUGGCUCAGGCCUGUAAUCCUAGCAGUUUGGAAGGCUAAAGUGGGAGGUGAGCUUCACUUGAGCUCAGGUGUUUGACACCAG
rnacentral:lncRNA from 10 species